AUAUCUAGUACAGGCACGGAGCCAAACUGUUACGAUCUUCUUUGAUCUUGUCUUUAGGAGAAUGCAGAGAAUUCAAUUAGGAUAGCACAUUGACUAAAGAUAAGAAUACUUUUAGCUUCCUAUAUAAUUGUGAAGCAUAAAUUAGAGUAAAACCCAAGUGAAAGGAAAAAUGAGAUUGAUCUGAAAUCCUUUUCAGUGAGAUUUAUCACUACCUACCGGUGUAUCUUUAGAUGCUCGCUCCCUCUCUUGGGGGAUGGGGAGGAAUUAAUCAGUAGAAAACAUUAAAGAUCUAACAUUUAGGUUCAAUUUGCCCAAAUCAAGACCCGAUAUAGUUUACUCCUCUGGAUUUAGUUUGGCAAGAAGCAGAUCAAUCUUUGGUCCAGUAUGAUUUCAGUUCAUUAAUCCCAACAAUAGAAAUUAGAUGUAAUGUGACAUUAAAAUCAAACAUGAUAUGUGAUUUGACAUAAAAAUCAAAUCUUGAUGUUAAAAAUCACAAAAAAAAUUCUAAUCCUCCAAGAAAUGCCAUCAAGAACUCUCAGUAUUACCGAAUACUUCAAAUCCAAACAAGCAAAUCAAGAACUAAUUAAAACCCAUUUCACAAAAAAUUAAAUGGAUUGCAAAAAAAAAGGGUAUAAAGUCAUGAGCAAACCUGUCGAUGAAAAGCUGAAGCAAGACGGCAAGAAGAUUAAUAAUACUGCAGUAGUAGUAAAUCUAGGAAAAUAUCUGAAGAACUCCAUAAGCCCCUUGUAGCUGCUAUAGAUUUUCUUGUGCUUUUUCUUUUGGGACACUCUCUGCUUAAGAUCUGCUAAAAUGCUACUGAAAAUGGGCUAAAAGAGAGAAGAAAAAUCUUGGCGGUGAGUGGCAGCUGGAACUGAGCUCACAUGGCAAGUUAGUCUAUUGAACUAAAGUGGACUUUAA
rnacentral:lncRNA from 1 species